rnacentral:rRNA from 1 species
UACGUAGGGUGCAAGCGUUGUCCGGAAUUAUUGGGCGUAAAGAGCUCGUAGGCGGUUUGUCGCGUCUGCUGUGAAAACGCGAGGCUCAACCUCGCGCCUGCAGUGGGUACGGGCAGACUAGAGUGCGGUAGGGGAGAUUGGAAUUCCUGGUGUAGCGGUGGAAUGCGCAGAUAUCAGGGGGAACACCGAUGGCGAAGGCAGAUCUCUGGGCCGUAACUGACGCUGAGGAGCGAAAGCGUGGGGAGCGAACAGG